rnacentral:tRNA from 1 species
GGGGACGUAGCUCAAGGAGAGCGUUGGUCCGCAAGGUCCGAAGAUGUUGGUGCGAAUCCAACCGUCUCCA